UUCUUUUAUCUAAAGCUACAGCUCUUCGCAUGAUGUCUAUUACUCUUGGUUACGGAAGCUUAAAGUCUAGUGAGGAUGCACUGCGCGAACUGAUAACAUAUAGAAGAGCUUCACCCCAUGCUCAAAUCUUCUUCGACAAGGAGCCUUAAACUUCAGCUAUCAAAUGUGUAUAAUACCGGCCACACUUGAUUUUCAACUGGAAAGAGAAACGACCGAUGGAGGUAUCAGGCAAAUAGGGUGCAUUUCUGGGCAUGUGCAGACGACAUUCAUGUUGCUUCGCCUGUUUAAGAUGUUGUCAUUUUCAUCUCCAUCAUUCGGGUCACUUGAAGAGAACAGAAAUAUCGGGUCAUGUUCAGUUACCAGCAUUCCGGACUCGCAGGGAGGUAGCUAAUGUUCCUUUUAAAUGUAGCUAAUGUUAAGGAGAACAAUGGUUCCCAGGGGCACAAGUGAAAUGACACUGCCGGGAAGGCAGGUGCACCAACCGUGGCUUCACGGAAUUGAACAAUCCCCGGCAUGAGCUGAUCCAUGGAGGUUGGCUCUCAUGUCUCAUCGGCACCAUAGCGACUUUGUGAGUGGCAAUUAAUUGAUAAGAGUACGUGUGCUAGAAUAGCAUAGUCCGUGUUGACCUACGCUCAGCUGAAUCGUUGAUUCGUGGAUAAGUGUACGCUCACACAGAGUACAUAUCAGUUUUUAAGCCGCCUAUCCAUCAUUGAUAUCCAGGAAUCGUGCGUGCCAUACGCGUAGAUGGUGGUUGGCGGAGGGCUACCAUACGACAAACUGCACAACUAGAUCAGGUUUUUUCUGCCGAGAGCUACUCAGAUGUUCAAACACGAUGAAAUUUGGCAUGGAGUAUUUGUUUUUGAAUUUGCUCUUCACCGGGAGCAGAUGAGCCUGGGUU